UGGAGGACAGCGCAGAAGUGGCUUCUUUCUGUGCAAGCAAUGGGGCUGCAGCCUUCCUCCGACACCUCAGAUGUUAACGGGGCAGCGUAUGUGUGUGGAUGAGAAAGGCCGGGAAGGGGCUUGGCUGUUCUCUGCUUCUCCUGUGCCUCGGAAUUAUCUCCACCACGGAAAUCUGCAGUGGAGCUCGGGACUGGCUAAGCUCUGAUUCAUGAGUCUGGUUGGACAAGUGAUCCUCUGAGUUAUUCUCCAAAUGCUACUGGUACUUUAUCAAAGAUGGGAGAAAGAAACACGAGGGAGAUGUGCCUGCAGGCUUCAGGUGACCUCAGAGAGGAGGAAAAUAAAGUGAAAGGCAUUCCCAGGACAGCUCUUGGAGGAGAUUCCAGCACGAGGUGGUAGCCAGUCCAGACUGGACAGGGAUUCAGAAACAAACAACAAAGUGCUGAGACCCGUGGAAGGAAGACACCCUCAAGGAAGCGAUGCUGAGAAACAUACAAGGGAGAACCUGGGACACAGCAAGUCACACGGCCAAGGGUGCAGAAAUCAAAACUCUCAGCAUUGAGAGGAAACUUAAAGGCAAGCCGCUGAUAUGAUCAACUCAUGCUUCUCUUCAAGACCGUGAGGAACUGUUUCUGGACUGCCAAGUUUGGACGCUGCACGUGCAGAUGGCUAUGAUGCUUUCUGAAACGGGCUACAGACACCCAGCAACAGCAGUGCUGAAUCCCUGGGACCAUUCAGAAAGGAUGAGGCUCCUCAUGGGCAAGACGGACCAGCGGGACAGAAGGCAGGACACGGUGGCUUUCUUGACCAUCGCUAGAAGGCAGACCUUGACGUCAUCCAGGACUAAACCUACCUGCAUGACCCCGUCUUUUACUGUGCGUGACAUUUUACUAUGACUUAGGAAAAGAUGACUCUGACACAGAAGAGAGUACCACAAAAUCCUGCCAGAGUAAAGGAGGUCAGGAUAGGGUAAGAAGCCAAGAUGCACAAAAGCACAAUUUACAGGGAUAGAUGGUAAAGUUCUGAGAGUGAACAGCACAAGAAAAAUCAGGUGAGGGGAGAGCUGACGUGUCAGUUAAAACUCUAGGCAAAAGCACCUGUUUAGUUCAAUCCAAGGCAACUCUGAUGUGGGUACCUCUUGAAGAGGAUGCAGCAGAUGAGGCUGGACUGUCCUCUUCUGGACUCACGACACCACACUCGGUUUUAAAGAGAUGUGAGCUGAAGAGUGCACAGGGAGGACGAGAAGGCCCCAAAACCAGCAGCAGCUGCCCGCAAGUAUUUAAGGGAGAAUUACACAAAGUCCCCAAGAGCAGAACCCGAGCCGAGAGCAGCAGUAAGAAAGGGAGCUUCAUUUGGACGCGAGGCUGCUGGGGAGGAGGUGGCCUCCCCAGCCUCUGAUGUGUGCAAGAGCAGAAGAUGUCCAGGAGCUGCUGAGGGAGUGGCCCAGGCACUGACGGACUGCAGUACCAGGCGACCAGUGGGGACAUGUCCAACCUUGUGAACCUGGGAAACUGCAAAGGCCAGAGCCCUGGAGCCGAUCACCCAAUGCCACGGCACUAAGUCAAAGAAAAAAGAACUCCUUGUAAACCCAGGUGAUUGCCAAGCUACGUGAGCUAAAUGCUUUACUUUUAGAGAACACUGUUUCAGAGAGGCAAGCCUAAUAGCCUUGGUUAGACCCUCACUGGGCAGCACCCAGGAGGCCUGUGGGGUCUGCUCUCCAUCAAGUCCUCUGCUACUGGCCAUGCUGCCUGGGCUGUCAGCUGGGGAUGCGCUGUGCCGGGGGCAGGGCCGAGCUCUAAGAGCCCCAAGCCCGUCAGCCGGAGUCCUCUGACAAUACGACUGACUUCUACUCCUCUGAGUGGCACAAUCAAAAAACCAAAUAUGAGACCACUUUACCUUUGGUCAUGUGAGCUCCUUGGGUCUUGGCUUUAAAGUCAGAUUCUCUGAGCAACCAAACCUUGGCACCAGUGGCUACUAUGUGUAACUUUGAAGGAAUUACAAACAGGUUGAUUUUAAGUCUAUGCGAAUGCAAAAUACUGCCUUCUUUGUGGCACUGGGACUUGAACUCACACUGAGCUAAACUCCAGUCCUUUUCAUUUUGAGACAGGGUCUUGCUAAGUUGCCCUACAACGUAUGACCCUCCUGCUUAGCCUCCUGAGGAGCAGGGACGCAGACAUCUGGCACCAUGCCCAGCUUAUGACACUGUUACUACUAUGCCCAGCUUAUGACACUGUUACUACUAUGGUCAGAGGUGUUAGUAGCGAUACUUCUUGAAAUGAAUAUUCCUGAACUUUUUCAUCCAUUUUGGGUAAUACAAUUAUAGAUGAUUAUAUUAAAAUUAACUAUGAAUCACACUAAAAAUACCGAACAUUCUUGCUUUGCAAGAAGUUACUAAGAAUCAGGAUGCGACUACAUAGCCAUGUAUCACUUCUCAAAACCUGGAAAAGCACUGUAGCUGGUGAGUGUAGUGACGGGGCUGGUGGUCAGUGAAGCUGAGAGUGUAAUGGGCCAAUCCUGCCAGAUUAAACCGAGUUACACAGGUCUCCUUCCUUCAGGACUCUGCCAGGCUCAAUGACUCAGUGUACACUGUGAGCGAGGAAGAGAAUCCUGGCUUUCCCAGGCUCGUCUGACCAUCUACUCUUCUCCCACACAGGCUUCUGGCUCCACUAGGGUCUGAGAGAACAGACUUCGGGAAACAUCUGGAAUUACGACUUACAGGAGUAUAAAAAUGGCCAAAUUUGGACAAUUUCCUACGAUCAAUGCAAGUGACGACAGUGACGUGACUGUGUGUGCCUGACUCCCCUGCUCCCUGAGGUCAGGCACCCUGAGCGAGGGGCCUGUGUUUUCUGUAUCUCUAUACUCACAGAGCUCAGCACAAUGUCUGAGACGGGAUGCUCAAAAAAGAUCUGUGAAAGAACUGAUGCGUUCCACCAAACAAUUGCAACCGUUAAAGACUCUGAAAUGACUCUCAAGUAACUGAAGACCGAGAACGGGUUCUCCCAGAAGAUGCAGACUGGCGGAGGGCUGAGAGCACGCCGCCCUCUGCUGAAGGUAACAAGAAAGCAAAGAGCUUGCCACGGGGGUGAGAGCUGUGCAGUUGGAAGGGAAUCCCACAAAACCUGGAGGUGUUUCCAGCAGAGAAGGUGGUGAAGCGCUGGGGCAGCUCUGCGUCACCC